rnacentral:rRNA from 1 species
GACGAACGCUGGCGGCGUGCUUAACACAUGCAAGUCGAACGGAAAGGCCCUGCUUUUGUGGGGUGCUCGAGUGGCGAACGGGUGAGUAACACGUGAGUAACCUGCCCUUGACUUUGGGAUAACUUCAGGAAACUGGGGCUAAUACUGGAUAGGAGCUCCUGCUGCAUGGUGGGGGUUGGAAAGUUUCGGCGGUUGGGGAUGGACUCGCGGCUUAUCAGCUUGUUGGUGGGGUAGUGGCUUACCAAGGCUUUGACGGGUAGCCGGCCUGAGAGGGUGGCCGGCCACAUUGGGACUGAGAUACGGCCCAGACUCCUACGGGAGGCAGCAGUGGGGAAUAUUGCACAAUGGGCGGAAGCCUGAUGCAGCAACGCCGCGUGCGGGAUGACGGCCUUCGGGUUGUAAACCGCUUUCGCCUGUGACGAAGCGUGAGUGACGGUAAUGGGUAAAGAAGCACCGGCUAACUACGUG